AACGAACGCUGGCGGCAGGCCUAACACAUGCAAGUCGAGCGCUUCCCUUCGGGGAGGAGCGGCGGACGGGUUAGUAACGCGUGGGAAUAUACCCAGUUCUAAGGAAUAGCCACUGGAAACGGUGAGUAAUACCUUAUACGCCCUUCGGGGGAAAGAUUUAUCGGAAUUGGAUUAGCCCGCGUUAGAUUAGAUAGUUGGUGGGGUAAUGGCCUACCAAGUCUACGAUCUAUAGCUGGUUUGAGAGGAUGAUCAGCAACACUGGGACUGAGACACGGCCCAG
rnacentral:rRNA from 1 species